rnacentral:rRNA from 1 species
AGCAGCCGCGGUAAUUCCAGCUCCAAUAGCGUAUAUUAAAGUUGUUGCAGUUAAAAAGCUCGUAGUUGAAUUUCGGGAUCAAUAUGUUUGGUCGUGCCUCGGUACGUACUAGCUUAUUGGUUUCUCCUUUCUGAAGAACCAUGAUGUCAUUCAUUUGGUGUCGUGGGGAAUCAGGACUGUUACUUUGAAAAAAUUAGAGUGUUUAAAGCAGGCUCACGCUUGAAUACAUUAGCAUGGAAUAAUGAAAUAGGACGUUUGAUUCUAUUUUGUUGGUUUCUAGGAUCGACGUAAUGAUUAAUAGGGAUAGUUGGGGGCACUAGUAUUCAAUUGUCAGAGGUGAAAUUCUUGGAUUUAUUGAAGACUAACUACUGCGAAAGCAUUUGCCAAGGAUAUUUUCAUUAAUCAAGAACGAAAGUUAGGGGAUCGAAGACGAUCAGAUACCGUCGUAGUCUUAACCAUAAACUAUGCCGACUAGGGAUCGGAUGAUGUUAAUUUUUUAAUGUACUCAU